ACUAUCAUUACGUGAAUACAUAGCGUAAUGAAGCGAACCGGGGGAACUGAAACAUCUAAGUACCCCGAGGAAAAGAAAUCAACCGAGAUUCCCCCAGUAGCGGCGAGCGAACGGGGAGCAGCCCAGAGUCUGAAUCAGCUUGUGUGUUAGUGGAACGGUCUGGAAAGUCCGACGGUACAGGGUGAUAGUCCCGUACACCAAAAUGCACAGGUUGUGAACUCGAAGAGUAGGGCGGGACACGUGGUAUCCUGUCUGAAUAUGGGGGGACCAUCCUCCAAGGCUAAAUACUCCUGACUGACCGAUAGUGAACCAGUACCGUGAGGGAAAGGCGAAAAGAACCCCGGCGAGGGGAGUGAAAAAGAACCUGAAACCGUGUACGUACAAGCAGUGGGAGCCUCUUUAUGGGGUGACUGCGUACCUUUUGUAUAAUGGGUCAGCGACUUAUAUUCUGUAGCAAGGUUAACCGUAUAGGGGAGCCGAAGGGAAACCGAGUCUUAACUGGGCGUUAAGUUGCAGGGUAUAGACCCGAAACCCGGUGAUCUAGCCAUGGGCAGGUUGAAGGUUGGGUAACACUAACUGGAGGACCGAACCGACUAAUGUUGAAAAAUUAGCGGAUGACUUGUGGCUGGGGGUGAAAGGCCAAUCAAACCGGGAGAUAGCUGGUUCUCCCCGAAAGCUAUUUAGGUAGCGCCUCGUGAACUCAUCUUCGGGGGUAGAGCACUGUUUCGGCUAGGGGGUCAUCCCGACUUACCAACCCGAUGCAAACUGCGAAUACCGAAGAAUGUUAUCACGGGAGACACACGGCGGGUGCUAACGUCCGUCGUGAAGAGGGAAACAACCCAGACCGCCAGCUAAGGUCCCAAAGUCAUGGUUAAGUGGGAAACGAUGUGGGAAGGCACAGACAGCCAGGAUGUUGGCUUAGAAGCAGCCAUCAUUUAAAGAAAGCGUAAUAGCUCACUGGUCGAGUCGGCCUGCGCGGAAGAUGUAACGGGGCUAAACCAUGCACCGAAGCUGCGGCAGCGACACUAUGUGUUGUUGGGUAGGGGAGCGUUCUGUAAGCCGUUGAAGGUGUAUCGUGAGGUAUGCUGGAGGUAUCAGAAGUGCGAAUGCUGACAUAAGUAACGAUAAUGCGGGUGAAAAACCCGCACGCCGGAAGACCAAGGGUUCCUGUCCAACGUUAAUCGGGGCAGGGUGAGUCGACCCCUAAGGCGAGGCCGAAAGGCGUAGUCGAUGGGAAACAGGUUAAUAUUCCUGUACUUGGUGUUACUGCGAAGGGGGGACGGAGAAGGCUAUGUUAGCCGGGCGACGGUUGUCCCGGUUUAAGCAUGUAGGCGGAGGUUCCAGGUAAAUCCGGUACCUUUUUAACGCUGAGGUGUGAUGACGAGGCACUACGGUGCUGAAGUAACAAAUGCCCUGCUUCCAGGAAAAGCCUCUAAGCAUCAGGUAACACGAAAUCGUACCCCAAACCGACACAGGUGGUCAGGUAGAGAAUACCAAGGCGCUUGAGAGAACUCGGGUGAAGGAACUAGGCAAAAUGGUGCCGUAACUUCGGGAGAAGGCACGCUGAUAUGUAGGUGAAGUGAUUUACUCAUGGAGCUGAAAUCAGUCGAAGAUACCAGCUGGCUGCAACUGUUUAUUAAAAACACAGCACUGUGCAAACACGAAAGUGGACGUAUACGGUGUGACGCCUGCCCGGUGCCGGAAGGUUAAUUGAUGGGGUUAUCCGUAAGGAGAAGCUCUUGAUCGAAGCCCCGGUAAACGGCGGCCGUAACUAUAACGGUCCUAAGGUAGCGAAAUUCCUUGUCGGGUAAGUUCCGACCUGCACGAAUGGCGUAAUGAUGGCCAGGCUGUCUCCACCCGAGACUCAGUGAAAUUGAACUCGCUGUGAAGAUGCAGUGUACCCGCGGCAAGACGGAAAGACCCCGUGAACCUUUACUAUAGCUUGACACUGAACACUGGUCCUUGAUGUGUAGGAUAGGUGGGAGGCUUUGAAGUGUGGACGCCAGUCUGCAUGGAGCCAUCCUUGAAAUACCACCCUUUAAUGGCUGGUGUUCUAACGUGGACCCGUUACCCGGGUUGCGGACAGUGUCUGGUGGGUAGUUUGACUGGGGCGGUCUCCUCCUAAAGAGUAACGGAGGAGCACGAAGGUUAGCUAAUCCUGGUCGGACAUCAGGAGGUUAGUGCAAAGGCAUAAGCUAGCUUGACUGCGAGAGUGACGGCUCGAGCAGGUGCGAAAGCAGGUCUUAGUGAUCCGGUGGUUCUGAAUGGAAGGGCCAUCGCUCAACGGAUAAAAGGUACUCCGGGGAUAACAGGCUGAUACCGCCCAAGAGUUCAUAUCGACGGCGGUGUUUGGCACCUCGAUGUCGGCUCAUCACAUCCUGGGGCUGAAGUAGGUCCCAAGGGUAUGGCUGUUCGCCAUUUAAAGUGGUACGCGAGCUGGGUUUAGAACGUCGUGAGACAGUUCGGUCCCUAUCUGCCGUGGGCGCUGGAGAAUUGAGGGGGGCUGCUCCUAGUACGAGAGGACCGGAGUGGACGCAUCACUGGUGUUCGGGUUGUCAUGCCAAUGGCAUUGCCCGGUAGCUAAAUGCGGAAGAGAUAAGUGCUGAAAGCAUCUAAGCACGAAACUUGCCCCGAGAUGAGUUCU
rnacentral:rRNA from 1 species